ensembl:lncRNA
AGAAGCAGCUUUUUUUCCUUGGUGUUGACACAGGCUGUCGUGUUCUCUCAAAGACCCGAGGCCUCUUUUUUUCUCUCUGACCCCAUCUGCUGCGCUGAUCCCCCUUAAUCACACUCCUCCAACCACUGACCUCCUGCUUUCUUAGAACAAACUAAUGCCACUUCUGCCUCGGGGACUUUACACUCUCUGUUUCCUUCUAGAGGGCUCUUCCUCCAGAUCUUCACAGGCUCCUUGUUCAUAUCCUUUGGGGUUUGGCUCAGAUGUCAGUUUCUCAGAUCUUCCCUUGCCAUCAUUAAAAAAUAUCCCUAUCCUUCUUCUCUUUAUCCUUAUUCUCCCUUAUUCUAUUCUGCACAGAACAUCCCACUAAAACACUAUGUAACUUUAAAAUUUAUUUUGCUUAGUGUCUCUCCCUUUUCCCCAUUAAAAUGGAAUCUAGAGCAGGGGUUUCUGUCAGUCUUAUUCACUUUUGUGUCCUCAAUACCAAGAAAAACACCCAAUAUGUAGUAGCACUAUUAAAUAUUUGCUGAAUGAAUGAACGAACUGAUGCUUUACAACAAGCUUCAGCAGCUAUCUUGCGAUCAUGAGAGGACUGAAGAAAAUCACAGAGGAACAGCUCUACCGCCUCAUCAUCGUGGAGCCACUCACUCAACAACUCUGCCUGUGAAGCAUUGUUAUUGAGUUCUGGAAUUUACCAUCAUUCCUGGGAGGCUGAGAAUUCUCAUACUACCUCCAUCUUCAAUAUGGGGAAAUGGGAUGCUGACAAUUAUCUGGUCAUCUGAACUUGUCUAGACAGGUAAGCCAGCCACUAGCAGGGAUGCUGGGACAACCACAAUACAGGUUACGAAGAUAGGGCUCAACCUGGUUUCCAUGGAGAAUCGGGACUCUCUUACAAUGUAAAUCACAUCAUGUCACUCUCCUGCUCAAGAACCUUGCAUAGACUUUCCUUGCUCUGAAAUUGAAAUCCAAACUCCUUGGCAGACUUGUUGAAUCUGCCCCCACUUCUCCAGUCCCGUCCCACCAAACUCCAGGCACAAGCCUUUCCCUGUUCCUGCCCCUGAGUCUUUGCAAUCAUUGUUUUCUCCCUUGAGGUGGAUUUCCAACACUUUGCAUGGCUGACUUAUUCUCAACCUCAAGGUCUAUAUUUUCCUCUUUAGAGAAGUAUUCUCUGACCUCCCUCCCUCCCUGAUGUGGGAGCACCCCAGUCCCUCUGCAGCAUCACUCUGUUUAUUUCAUUCAUAGCACUUAUCAUCAUCUGUAAUGGUCUUAGCUGAAUGUCUCCCCAACUGGACUGUCCAGAGGGCAAGGACUGUUCUCUCUUCUUAGCUGCAUCUACAGGGCCUCCUUGCUCAAUACCCAGCACGUGACAAUGCUCAAUAACUAUGCUGAGUGAAUAAACGAAAGGAUAGAUGAAUGCUCUGCUCACCUCCACCACAGCACCAGAUGGUAAGGCCCCAACAGGACACUGGCCUAAAGAUCCCUGAUGGCCUUGGACAAACCAGAAGUGUUGCAACCACCGCAAGAUAGUGAUGCUUCAACUCAGUCAAAAGAGGACUGCACAAGGCACUAGGCCUCCAAGGUGCAGAAGUGCUUCAACCCAUCAACCCAGGUCCUGUCCUGAACAAUCCUCAACUUCUGAGCACAGAUGGGCUGUCUUGCCAAGUUUCCCCCAGUCUCCCCUUCCACUGUUUGGGAAGGCUUGGCUUUUUUACAGCCAACCAGGCAGUCCAGCAAUGACUGAGUGUUAACCAGUGGGAUGCUGGGGCUACAGGGGGCAGCAGUCCUUCCAGGAG